rnacentral:rRNA from 1 species
UACGUAGGGUGCAAGCGUUGUCCGGAAUUAUUGGGCGUAAAGAGCUCGUAGGCGGCUUGUCACGUCGGGUGUGAAAGCCCGGGGCUUAACCCCGGGUCUGCAUUCGAUACGGGCUAGCUAGAGUGUGGUAGGGGAGAUCUGAAUUCCUGGUGUAGCGGUGAAAUGCGCAGAUAUCAGGAGGAACACCGGUGGCGAAGGCGGAUCUCUGGGCCAUUACUGACGCUGAGGAGCGAAAGCGUGGGGAGCGAACAGG